rnacentral:rRNA from 1 species
GAUGAACGCUGACAGAAUGCUUAACACAUCAGCCAUUGAUUGGUGGCGGACUCGUGAGUAACGCGUAAAGAACUUGCCUCCCAGCUAGGGACCACAUUUCGAACUGAAUGCUAAUACCUGGUCCUGUGAGCGAGCUUUGGGUCCCAUUAGCUAGUUGGAGAGGUAACAGCUCACCAAGGCGAGGAUGGGUAGCCGGCCUGAGAUGGUGAACGGCCACAAGGGGACUGAGACACGGCCCUGACUCCUACGGGAGGAAGCAGUGGGGAAUAUUGGACAAUGGACCGAAGUCUGAUCCAGCAAUUCUGUGGGCACGAUGAAGGUUUAGGAAGGUAAAGUGCUUUCAGUUGGGAAGCGGUACCAACAGAAGAAGUGACGGCUAAAUACGUGCCAGCAGCCGCGGUAAUUC